UAAUUCUCAUAUAGGGCAAAAAUCACGUGCUUACAGGGUUUUAAACCCUAAAUUAAACUUUUCCAUUCAGUCAGCAUUAGGGUUUUAAACCCUAAACUGAACUCUUUCCAGCCAGUCAGUAUUAGGGUUUUAAACCCUAAACUAAACUUUUCCUUUAGUCAGCAUUAGGGUUUUAAACCCUAAACUGAACUCUUUCCUUCAGUCAGUAUUAGGGUAUUAAACCCUGAACUGAACUUUUUCCAUUCAGUCAGCAUUAGGGUUUUAAACCCUAAAUUGAACUCUUUCCAGCCAGACAGUAUUAGGGUUUUAAACCCUAAACUGAACUUUCCCUUUAGUCAGCAUUAGGGUUUUAAACCCUAAACUGAACUCUUUCCUUCAGUCAGCAUUAGGGUUUUAAACCCUAAACUAAUCUUUUUCCAUUCAGUCAGCAUUAGGGUUUUAAACCCUAAACUGAACUUUUUCCUUUAGUCAGCAUUAGGGUUUUAAUCCCUAAACUGGACUUUUUC
rnacentral:lncRNA from 1 species